CUGGCAGAUUAUUGCAAAAAGGGCACGGGGCAGAGGGACUAUGUUGUGAGCCUGCGAAAGAAGUUUGUGUGGGGACUGUGGGCAGUGAAUGCGUUGGGAACAAUAUGGAAAACUGGGAGCUGCCUUGGAAUCUACAGGGCCGGGUAAGAGAAUGUCCGAAAGAAAAAUGAGCAGGUGCGGGAUGUGCGCAGAGUCGGAGAAGAGUCCAGGGCGCCCGGAGUGGCUCCAGGAACGACGGAAACCCCUCAAGGCUUUUGGGGGCGGGAAUCACCACUGUCAGACUUCAAUCCAACAGGACCCACUCGAGCCAUCCACACUUUCCCCAGCCUCCUCCAAAACAGCACACUUUCCGGCUGAAGAAAAGAAGAAUGGUAUUCAUGCAGUUCCCAUUUUACAGAUGAAAACAAGAGGACUUUUUCUGUGAAGUCAAGAAAGUGGUUACAAUGGUACUUUCAGCCUGUCCGAAUUAUGUAUUGCCCCUCCCCUUUUUAUUAAUAACAUUGAAGUGUGAUGGGACAACCACUGAAGCCGUCUGUUGAAACCUGCUGGGACUUUUUAGCCAUUCUCUUCAACAUAAAGAAUGGGUGUUUUUGGAGGGGGUGAGAGGAAUGGGGAAAUGUUGUCAAAGAGUACAAUGUUUUAGUUGAGACAGGAGGAAUAUAUUUUGUUGAGAUCUACAGCACAGCAUGGUGACUGUAGUUAACAAUGAAGUAUUGUGUAUUUCAAAAUUGCUAAGACAAUAAAUUUCAAAUGUUCUCACCACAAAAAAGAU
rnacentral:lncRNA from 1 species